rnacentral:rRNA from 1 species
AGAGUUUGAUCCUGGCUCAGGACGAACGCUGGCGGCGUGCUUAACACAUGCAAGUCGAACGGAAAGGCCCCUUCGGGGGUGCUCGAGUGGCGAACGGGUGAGUAACACGUGGGUGAUCUGCCCUGCACUUUGGGAUAAGCCUGGGAAACUGGGUCUAAUACCGGAUAGGACUACGCGAUGCAUGUCGUGUGGUGGAAAGCUUUUGCGGUGUGGGAUGGGCCCGCGGCCUAUCAGCUUGUUGGUGGGGUGAUGGCCUACCAAGGCGACGACGGGUAGCCGGCCUGAGAGGGUGUCCGGCCACACUGGGACUGAGAUACGGCCCAGACUCCUACGGGAGGCAGCAGUGGGGAAUAUUGCACAAUGGGCGCAAGCCUGAUGCAGCGACGCCGCGUGAGGGAUGACGGCCUUCGGGUUGUAAACCUCUUUCAGUCACGACGAAGCGCAAGUGACGGUAGUGACAGAAGAAGCACCGGCCAACUACGUGCCAGCAGCGGCGGUAAUAC